AGACUGUGUCUGCUCCCAGGGCUGCUACUGGAAAGACCUGACCUGCCUGGGCAGGGACCUGGCAAAGACGGUGGCCCUGGACCACACCAUGCAGGGUUUCCCUGCCCAGGCUGCCAACUGGAUCUCGGUGCCACGGUGGUCUGGGGACCCUCAGGACGAGGAGUUGCUGCGCCUCAUCCCAGUGCUGGCACAGCUGGGCCAGGCGGAGGACGUGCGCCCCGAGAUCCAGCGGCACUUCCAGCCCUGCCAGCUGCCCACUGAUGAUUAGGCCAGCCUGGAGGAGCAGGAUGGGGAAAACCACCCAGAGAGGCCGUGGGGAAGUUGAGCUCAGGUGCAUCCAGCAUCUCAUCCCAUGGAACUGGGCUGGAUGGUUGUCCCAGGACUCUCCUGUGGUGUUUGCAGGGAUCCCAGCUCAUCCCUGGGGGCUGGGGGUCCCUCUAAGGAGAGCCCCUGCCUUUGGAGACGAGGCUCCAUCCUGGCUCCCUCCUGUCCCUGCUCUGUAAGGUCCAGCCAAG